UGGCGACGGAAAAAACACAGCUGGACUUUACAAGAGACAACACUUGUCAACGUUUUAAAAGAAUUUACAAUAAGCGGAAAAGUUUGACGGACGUAAGUUGGCAGCACAGACUUGUUGUGUCCGGAGUCAGCAGGUCAGUAGAGCAAAUUAAGAACCGCUGGGAAGCAACGAGCGCUUUGUACAAGGAAAAGCUAAACGAGCAGAAGCGGCGCGGCUCCAACCAGCUUCACUUAUUAUGAAUUAAUGGAGUAAUAAUCGGAGGUCGACCCUCUCCAAGGAGCACACUGGAGUAGAAGUCGGUUUUACACCGGAGGAAAGUUCACCCGAGACACCGGAAAGCCUGGAGAUGAUGAUGAUGAUGAUGUAAAGAGCACGUCGGAGGAGAUUGAUGACAGCAGAUCUCCACAACCUGAAGACCACAGAGGAGCCUCCAGACAAAAAAAGAGUAAUAUGCUGCUAAAUAAGACCACAAUCGAAAGCCAUCAUCUGGUGAUGCCAAGCUCCUGGAUGAUCGAUCAGCCCAACAGAGAUCUUUCCUGGACAACAUGCAACAGCAGCAUGAGAGGAAUCUGGAAAGAGAAGAGAGGCUUCUUUCCAGGUUUAUGGAAGAAAGUACCCGCUCAACUGAAAGCAUUAUAGGGCAACUGUUUAAUGGUCUUCAGGCUCUCCUUUCUCAAUCCUACUCAUCAGUUGAGACAAGCAUGUAACAGCCCAAAAACUACCACUCGUUUCGAGCGUUACUUCAAAUACAGCUGGAUUUUCUAAACUGCAGCAGCUAUAGAAUUUCCAAGGUACUCAAUAUGCUCAGAAUGACCAGUACAUGUUUAGAAGGGACA